GGCAUGUUCGUCUAGCGGUCUAGGACGCUGGCCUCUCACGCCGGUAACAUGGGUUCGAGUCCCAUACAUGCUA
rnacentral:tRNA from 2 species